rnacentral:snoRNA from 1 species
CAAUGAUGAUUAAUAUUGCUGGCACCCGUCCUAGAAGACUUGUACUCUUUUUGCUGCGGAUUAGCUUUUGCUGGAGCUUAGAUCUCCUUCUUGCCUGAU